UAAGGUUAUCAUUUAAUAUAAGGUAUUUUAUAGUUGUUUAAAGUGUAAUAAUGAUAUUUGUAAUAAUAACAACGGUAACUAAGAAUGAAGUUUGUUUUGUCGCAAUCGCGUGACAGUAGCUGCCGUGCCCCGUUGGACAUUUCAGUUUUGCGAAAUAAAAUCAACUAUAAUACAAGAUUAAUUCGCGUAAAGCUCCAAGAUUCCGUCAACCACUGUCUUCACCGCAUUCUGGGUAUCUACUGGCCCGAGAUAAACUCUAACGUGGAAAUGAAUAGCCCAUACAGAAAAUAUUCCAACUCUAUCCCCAAACAGGUGCUUGAUUUGAUACCGCAAGGAAAGUGGAAGCGAGGCUAUACCCCGCCAGAGUUACAGGGAAAGAGAACCGGAAAGACUUGGUUACUAUUGGAUUCAACCGUGCAACUCUCAACACGGUUAUCUUCGACAUCUACCCGAAAUAUUAAGAAGCUUCAGAAGCAACUGGACGAUUUCUGCAGUAAGAUGAUGCGUCACGCGCAAGAAGAGCGUAGCAGAGGCGAGACGACGGGCCCCACUCGCCUAUGAAUAUUGAAUAGUAAUAUUUAUAUAUUAUAAGGAAACUAGCUGACCCGGCUGACGUUGUUUUGCCAUGUAUAUUAUUACUAAGAAACAUUAUUUUAGUACAAUAAAAAUAACUAUCUGCUAUAUUAAAAAAUAGCGGUUAAUCGUGGAAUCGUUAAGGAGUGAAAAUUAAGGG